AAAAAAAAGGAAAAGAAAAAAGGACUCUCUUGAACAGUGCUGGAAACUGGUAGCCUGAGGUGAGGAGUGACUUCAAAAAAAAGCAGCAGAUUCUUUAACUGAAGGACUUCCCGGUCUCCAUGGAACCUGGAAAGAGGAGGCCUGAAUGCAAGAAUUUUCUGGUAGUUGUCUUCUAGCACUCUUCACUCACUCCUGCUGGUCUCUACUCUUCUUCAAGCACCUCAAGCUCAUUGCCACGUUCAGGCCUUUCCACUUGCUCUGGGCUCAGCCUGGCCUUGCAGGAAAGCCUAUGAAAUGUUUCCAUCUCUGGGAUCAGGACGUUGACAGGAUUUGACGGUCAGGCAACCUUGGAUUCAAAGCUUUGCUUGUAACCUCUGAGCUCAGUUGAUGUUAUGCAAUGAACACCUGUAGUUCUCUUUGCAACGCCUUCAGCAAAUGUGUGCUGGUUUUUACAACAGGACGCCAGUGAGACAGUUUGAAAGGAGACAUAGAAGCCAGCUGUCUUAAAAUCAGGUGCAGAGAAGGUAGUAACUUGCCCAAGGUCACACUGCUCCUAAGAAACUGUGUCAAGAUUUAAGGCUAUACUUUAUGCAGUGAAAGAAGGCUACCUCAUCCUCUGAAAUCUAAGGAAGAAGAAAUGAUGACUGAAAAUGGAAGAAGUGGGAGUAGAUAAGGGGAGGAAGGCUGCUGUAACAAAAACAUAUACAACUCUAGGGGCUUAAGUAAAUAAAAGUUUAUUUAUCUCCCAAGAAAGUCUAGAAUGAGUUAUCUUGGGCUGGUAGGGUGGCUCUGUUCUACAGGGACAUUCAGAGACAGUGGUGCUUUCCGUAUUAUUGCCCUGUAAUCUUGAGUAUCCACAUGGCUGAUGCUGGCUCACUUCCACAAUGGUGGUCUAACCUGGGGAAGGGAAAAAAGAGAGUGUCCAAGUCAAUCUUUUAGGAUAAGAUGAAGAAGUUGCUUGCUUCAUGUUUGCCCACAUUCCAUUGAUCUGAAGUAAGUCACCUGGUCAUGUGUAGCUGCAAGGGAGGCUGGGAAAUGUAGUUUCUUCUUGGGUGAUUAUAUGCCUAGCCAAAACUCAGGGAUUCUACUACUAAAAGGAAGGGGAAAAUGGAUACUGCAUGAUCUUUAUAAGUCUUUUAUUAGAAUUUCUUGUAGGGAAAUCAUGUGGCAAAACAACAAAGGCACUUAUACAAAACAAUUAAUGAAAACAAUAUUCCACAACAAUUUUAAAAAUAUAUCCUGUGGCAAAUAGUGUUUUUAAUAGACUGAGAGAAUAUAUUCAGUGUCCUUGGUUUUGUAUUGUUCCUCUGUGUCUCUCCUGGUAUCUUAGCAUCUUUUGAAGAUGGUGGCAAUGUCAGAGUGGAUAU